GGAAGUAAAAGUCGUAACAAGGUUUCCGUAGGUGAACCUGCGGAAGGAUCAUUAACGAGUAACUGAACGGGUUGUAGCUGGCCUCUCGGGGCAUGUGCACACCUGGCUCAUCCACUCUUCAACCUCUGUGCACUUGUUGUAGGUCGGCAGAAGGGCGAGCCUUAAAACAGCUCGCUUGGAAGCCUUCCUAUGUUUUAUUACAAACGCUUCAGUUUAAGAAUGUAACCUGCGUAUAACGCAACUAUAUACAACUUUCAGCAACGGAUCUCUUGGCUCUCGCAUCGAUGAAGAACGCAGCGAAAUGCGAUAAGUAAUGUGAAUUGCAGAAUUCAGUGAAUCAUCGAAUCUUUGAACGCACCUUGCGCUCUCUGGUAUUCCGGAGAGCACGCCUGUUUGAGUGUCAUGGUAUUCUCAACCUUCAUAACUUUUUCGUGACUGAAGGCUUGGACUUGGAGGUCGUGCUGGCUCUUGUAGUCGGCUCCUCUUAAAUGCAUUAGCGUGAACGUUUACGGAUCGCUAUCAGUGUGAUAAUUAUCUGCGCUGUUAGUGUUGAAGUAUGUCUAGUGUCGCGCUUCUAACCGUCCUUCACUGGACAAUAUUUACUUGACAUCUGACCUCAAAUCAGGCGGGACUACCCGCUGAACUUAAGCAUAUCAAUAAGCGGAGGA
rnacentral:rRNA from 1 species